rnacentral:rRNA from 1 species
UGGGGAAUUUUGGACAAUGGGGGAAACCCUGAUCCAGCCAUCCCGCGUGUGCGAUGAAGGCCUUCGGGUUGUAAAGCACUUUUGGCAGGAAAGAAACGUCGCGGGUUAAUACCCCGCGAAACUGACGGUACCUGCAGAAUAAGCACCGGCUAACUACGUGCCAGCAGCCGCGGUAAUACGUAGGGUGCAAGCGUUAAUCGGAAUUACUGGGCGUAAAGCGUGCGCAGGCGGUUCGGAAAGAAAGAUGUGAAAUCCCAGAGCUUAACUUUGGAACUGCAUUUUUAACUACCGGGCUAGAGUGUGUCAGAGGGAGGUGGAAUUCCGCGUGUAGCAGUGAAAUGCGUAGAUAUGCGGAGGAACACCGAUGGCGAAGGCAGCCUCCUGGGAUAACACUGACGCUCAUGCACGAAAGCGUGGGGAGCAAACAGGAUUAGAUACCCUGGUAGUCCACGCCCUAAAACGAUGUCAACUAGCUGUUGGGGGCCUUCGGGCCUUGGCAGCGCAGCUAACGCGUGAAGUUGACCGCCUGGGGGAGUACGGUCGCAAGAUUAAAACUCAAAUGAAUUGACGGGGUCAUAGCUGUUUCCU